rnacentral:rRNA from 1 species
CGAGCGGCAGCGGGAAGUAGCUUGCUACUUUGCCGGCGAGCGGCGGACGGGUGAGUAAUGUCUGGGAAACUGCCUGAUGGAGGGGGAUAACUACUGGAAACGGUAGCUAAUACCGCAUGACCUCGCAAGAGCAAAGUGGGGGACCUUCGGGCCUCACGCCAUCGGAUGUGCCCAGAUGGGAUUAGCUAGUAGGUGGGGUAAUGGCUCACCUAGGCGACGAUCCCUAGCUGGUCUGAGAGGAUGACCAGCCACACUGGAACUGAGACACGGUCCAGACUCCUACGGGAGGCAGCAGUGGGGAAUAUUGCACAAUGGGCGCAAGCCUGAUGCAGCCAUGCCGCGUGUGUGAAGAAGGCCUUAGGGUUGUAAAGCACUUUCAGCGAGGAGGAAGGGUUCAGUGUUAAUAGCACUGUGCAUUGACGUUACUCGCAGAAGAAGCACCGGCUAACUCCGUGCCAGCAGCCGCGGUAAUACGGAGGGUGCAAGCGUUAAUCGGAAUUACUGGGCGUAAAGCGCACGCAGGCGGUUUGUUAAGUCAGAUGUGAAAUCCCCGAGCUUAACUUGGGAACUGCAUUUGAAACUGGCAAGCUAGAGUCUUGUAGAGGGGGGUAGAAUUCCAGGUGUAGCGGUGAAAUGCGUAGAGAUCUGGAGGAAUACCGGUGGCGAAGGCGGCCCCCUGGACAAAGACUGACGCUCAGGUGCGAAAGCGUGGGGGAGCAAACAGGAUUAGAUACCCUGGUAGUCCACGCUGUAAACGAUGUCGACUUGGAGGUUGUGCCCUUGAGGCGUGGCUUCCGGAGCUAACGCGUUAAGUCGACCGCCUGGGGGAGUACGGCCGCAAGGUUAAAACUCAAAUGAAUUGACGGGGG